GACAGAGGGUGCAAACGUUGUUCGGAAUUACUGGGCGUAAAGCGCGUGUAGGCGGCUGCGCAAGUCGGAUGUGAAAUCCCAUGGCUCAACCAUGGAAGUGCACCCGAAACUGCGUAGCUAGAGUCUCGGAGAGGAAGGCGGAAUGCUUGGUGUAGAGGUGAAAUUCGUAGAUAUCAAGCGGAACACCGGUGGCGAAGGCGGCCUUCUGGACGAUGACUGGCGCUGAGACGCGAAAGCGUGGGGAGCAAACAGG
rnacentral:rRNA from 1 species